rnacentral:rRNA from 1 species
GUCCUGGCUCAGGAUGAACGCUAGCUACAGGCUUAACACAUGCAAGUCGAGGGGGCAGCAUGGUCUUAGCUUGCUAAGGCUGAUGGCGACCGGCGCACGGGUGAGUAACACGUAUCCAACCUGCCGUCUACUCUGGCCAGCCUUCUGAAAGGAAGAUUAAUCCAGGAUGGGAUCAUGAGUUCACAUGUCCGCAUGAUUAAAGGUAUUUUCCGGUAGACGAUGGGGAUGCCG